GACGAACGCUGGCGGCGUGCUUAACACAUGCAAGUCGAACGGAAAGGCCCUGCUUUUGUGGGGUUCUCGAGUGGCGAACGGGUGAGUAACACGUGAGUAACCUUCCCUUUACUUUGGGAUAACUUCAGGAAACUGGUGCUAAUACCUGAUAGGAGCUCCUGCUGCAUGGUGGGGUUUGGAAAGUUUCGGCGGUUGGGGAUGGACUCGCGGCUUAUCAGCUUGUUGGUGGGGUAGUGGCUUACCAAGGCUUUGACGGGUAGCCGGCCUGAGAGGGUGACCGGCCACAUUGGGACUGAGAUACGGCCCAGACUCCUACGGGAGGCAGCAGUGGGGAAUAUUGCACAAUGGGCGGAAGCCUGAUGCAGCAACGCCGCGUGCGGGAUGACGGCCUUCGGGUUGUAAACCGCUUUCGCCUGUGACGAAGCGUGAGUGACGGUAAUGGGUAAAGAAGCACCGGCUAACUACGUG
rnacentral:rRNA from 1 species